rnacentral:lncRNA from 1 species
GUGGAAACAUGGACAUAAGAGAAAAGCCGAGAAAAAUGAAAGCAGUAUUUUUAAACUUAUGAUAAUUGUGAAGAUACAAGUGUCUGACGCAAGCGGCUUUUCUCAAGAGGUUUGACGUAGCUGAUCAACGUCUGAUUGCAUGUGACCGUACUUAAUAUUGGUGGGCAAACUCUUCAAUAGCUAGGUCAAAUCGGUUUGCCAGAUAAAGAUAACAGCCGAUCAGGGGCAUCAUGGUCUCCUUCUUUAUAUUACUUCUGCUUCCUGCUAUGUGUCAUGCGGGUGCCUCAAAAGGUUGCAAGGAUGUGAAAGGUGCGUGGCACCCUGAUGGGGCACCUUGUUUGGCAGGGAUACUAGAAAAUCCAGUUGGCGAAUAUAAAUGUGCCGUUGGGCAAUGCUAUGAUGGUGGCUGUAAAAUAGUGAAAAUUCAUGUGUGCGCAACCAGCUAACCAACUAAGUGUUUAUUCAAUAAAUCUAUCUUGCCGAAACACUGAAAAACUGAGCCCAUAGCACGCCUCUGCAUGUUUAUUCUUCUUACUCGCACAAUUUUAGCAUUUUAAAUGCGUACGAACUUCGAUGCCGACUCAGCAAAAAAACUGUCUGUCCCUCCAUUCCGAAGUUUUUGACGAGAAAUCUCUAAAAGUGAAUAAAUGAGUAACAGAAAAACAAUUUUGUUCAGAAU